rnacentral:rRNA from 1 species
GUGGGGAAUUUUGGACAAUGGGCGAAAGCCUGAUCCAGCCAUGCCGCGUGCAGGAUGAAGGCCUUCGGGUUGUAAACUGCUUUUGUACGGAACGAAAAGACUCUGGUUAAUACCUGGGGUCCAUGACGGUACCGUAAGAAUAAGCACCGGCUAACUACGUGCCAGCAGCCGCGGUAAUACGUAGGGUGCAAGCGUUAAUCGGAAUUACUGGGCGUAAAGCGUGCGCAGGCGGUUAUAUAAGACAGAUGUGAAAUCCCCGGGCUCAACCUGGGAACUGCAUUUGUGACUGUAUAGCUAGAGUACGGCAGAGGGGGAUGGAAUUCCGCGUGUAGCAGUGAAAUGCGUAGAUAUGCGGAGGAACACCGAAGGCGAAGGCAAUCCCCUGGGCCUGUACUGACGCUCAUGCACGAAAGCGUGGGGAGCAAACAGGAUUAGAUACCCGUGUAGUCC